GGAAUAUUGGGCAAUGGGCGAAAGCCUGACCCAGCGACGCCGCGUGAGGGAUGAAGGUCUUCGGAUUGUAAACCUCUUUCAGUAGGGAAGAAGCGAAAGUGACGGUACCUAAAGAAGAAGCACCGGCUAACUAUGUGCCAGCAGCCGCGGUAAUACAUAGGGUGCAAGCGUUGUCCGGAAUUAUUGGGCGUAAAGAGCUCGUAGGUCGUUUGUCGCGUCGAUUGUGAAAAUCUGAGGCUCAACCUCAGACCUACAGUCGAUACGGGCAAACUAGAGUGUGGUAGGGGAGACUGGAAUUCCUGGUGUAGCGGUGGAAUGCGCAGAUAUCAGGAGGAACACCAAUGGCGAAGGCAGGUCUCUGGGCCAUAACUGACACUGAGGAGCGAAAGUGCGGGGAGCGAACAGGAUUAGAUACCCUGGUAGUCCGCACCGUAAACGGUGGGCACUAGUUGUGGGAACCUUCCACGGUUUCCGCGACGCAGCAAACGCAUUAAGUGCCCCGCCUGGGGAGUACGAUCGCAAGAUUAAAACUCAAAGGAAUUGACGG
rnacentral:rRNA from 1 species